rnacentral:lncRNA from 1 species
AGGACAAGUGGAAGUUGGUUCCAGCUUUUUUGAAGGUGAAAGGACUUGUAAAACAACACAUAGAUUCUUUUAACUAUUUUAUUAAUACAGAGAUAAAAGACAUAGUAAAAGCUAACGAAAGAGUUCAAACAGAUGCUGAUCCUGUUUGGUACCUUAAAUAUUUAGAUGUUCAUGUUGGUGCUCCAGAUGUAGAAGAAUCUUUUAAUGUUUCUCGUCCUGUAGCACCACAUGAGUGCCGAUUGCGUGAUCUAACUUAUUCUGCUCCAAUCACUGUUGAUAUAGAGUACACAAGAGGA